GCUAUGAUGGUUGAAAGGAUAAUCAUGUUGGUUGCUUUGGUUGUUGCUAGGGUAAUUAAGAUGGUUGCUAGGAUCUUGCUAGGGAACAUGUGGUGGUUGCUAUGCCAAAGAAAGCGGUUACUAUACAGGUUGCUAGGGUUAUCUUGUAAGUUGUUAUGGUGGUUGCUAGGUUGACAUAGUGGCGGUUGCUAGGUUGUUGCCAGGGUAAUUAAGACAGUUGCCAGGGUAUAUUAGGUGGUUGCUAUGCCAUAUAAAGUGACAAGGUAAUGGAUCAUGGGAAUCUAAGUAACUCUCAAAAGUAUUGAGUUUCUCAAUAAACUCUAUGUUUAGAGUUAUUAUUAUUAUUAUUAUUAUCAUUAUUAUUAUUAUUAAUAAUAAUAAUAAUAUUUUAUCUGAGUUCAUGUGUUAAAUAAUUGUUUUGAGUUCAAUUGACUCAAUGGGGGAAUACAGUGUACAGUACUUGUAUACUACUGCAGCAAUGAUGAAAUGCAAUCAAACAAUUUACUGUGGGAAUGCAAUGAGUACAAGACAUCCAAGCUUACCAGAGACUGACUUGUAGUAGGGAUUACUUUCCUUGAGGUGCCAGACAGUUUUGCCCUUUUACGUGGAUGCUUUUUUGGGGGGCUGGACAGAACAGACCUUCCUGAUGGUCGCUUUAUGGGGGUGCUCCUCUGCGAUGAACAUUCUGAAGAACUAUAUUUAACCAGGG
ensembl:lncRNA